UAGGCNUGAGGUACUGGAAGGUCCUCAGGCCGAAAGGGGCUCUGCCCGCCCGAGGAUGGGCCGGCGGCCGAUUAGGUAGUUGGUGGGGUAACGGCCCACCAAGCCGAAGAUCGGUACGGGCCAUGAGAGUGGGAGCCCGGAGAUGGACACUGAGACACGGGUCCAGGCCCUACGGGGCGCAGCAGGCGCGAAACCUCCGCAAUGCGGGCAACCGCGACGGGGGGACCCCCAGUGCCGUGGCAACGCCACGGCUUUUCCGGAGUGUAAAAAGCUCCGGGAAUAAGGGCUGGGCAAGGCCGGUGGCAGCCGCCGCGGUAAUACCGGCGGCCCGAGUGGUGGCCGCUAUUAUUGGGCCUAAAGCGUCCGUAGCCGGGCCCGUAAGUCCCUGGCGAAAUCCCACGGCUCAACCGUGGGGCUUGCUGGGGAUACUGCGGGCCUUGGGACCGGGAGAGGCCGGGGGUACCCCUGGGGUAGGGGUGAAAUCCUAUAAUCCCAGGGGGACCGCCAGUGGCGAAGGCGCCCGGCUGGAACGGGUCCGACGGUGAGGGACGAAGGCCAGGGGGGCGAACCGGAUUAGAUACCCGGGUAGUCCUGGCUGUAAAGGAUGCGGGCUAGGUGUCGGGCGAGCUUCGAGCUCGCCCGGUGCCGAAGGG
rnacentral:rRNA from 1 species